rnacentral:rRNA from 1 species
ACAGUGGACGCGAGCAUCUGUGGCCAAGUUUUUAAGGGCGCACGGUGGAUGCCUUGGCACCAGGAACCGAUGAAGGACGUGGGAGGCCACGAUAGGCCCCGGGGAGUCGUCAACCAGGCUUUGAUCCGGGGGUGUCCGAAUGGGGAAACCCGGCAGUCGUCAUGGGCUGUCACCCGCUGCUGAACACAUAGGCAGUGUGGAGGGAACGCGGGGAAGUGAAACAUCUCAGUACCCGCAGGAAGAGAAAACAACCGUGAUUCCGGGAGUAGUGGCGAGCGAAACUGGAUGAGGCCAAACCGUAUACGUGUGAGACCCGGCAGGGGUUGCGUGUGCGGGGUUGUGGGAUCUCUCUUCCACGGUCUGCCGGCCGUGGGGCGAGUCAGAAACCGUUGAUGUAGGCGAAGGACAUGCGAAAGGUCCGGCGUAGAGGGUAAGACCCCCGUAGUCGAAACGUCAGCGGCUUGCUUGAGAGACACCCAAGUAGCACGGGGCCCGAGAAAUCCCGUGUGAAUCUGGCGGGACCACCCGCUAAGCCUAAAUAUUCCCUGGUGACCGAUAGCGGAUAGUACCGUGAGGGAAUGGUGAAAAGUACCGCGGGAGCGGAGUGAAAUAGUACCUGAAACCGUGUGCCUACAAGCCGUGGGAGCGUCGGACAUCAGCUUGCUGGUGUCUCGUGACUGCGUGCCUUUUGAAGAAUGAGCCUGCGAGUUUGCGGUGUGUUGCGAGGUUAACCCGGGUGGGGUAGCCGUAGCGAAAGCGAGUCCGAACAGGGCGAUUUUAGUAGCACGCUCAAGACCCGAAGCGGAGUGAUCUAGCCAUGGGCAGGUUGAAGCGGAGGUAAGACUUCGUGGAGGACCGAACCCACCAGGGUUGAAAACCUGGGGAUGACCUGUGGUUAGGGGUGAAAGGCCAAUCAAACUCCGUGAUAGCUGGUUCUCCCGAAAUGCAUUUAGGUGCAGCGUCGUGUGUUUCUUGCCGGAGGUAGAGCACUGGAUAGGCGAUGGGCCCUACCGGGUUACUGACCUUAGCCAAACUCCGAAUGCCGGUAAGUGAGAGCGCGGCAGUGAGACUGUGGGGGAUAAGCUCCAUGGUCGAGAGGGAAACAGCCCAGAGCAUCGACUAAGGCCCCUAAGCGUACGCUAAGUGGGAAAGGAUGUGGAGUCGCACAGACAACCAGGAGGUUGGCUUAGAAGCAGCCACCCUUGAAAGAGUGCGUAAUAGCUCACUGGUCUAGUGAUUCCGCGCCGACAAUGUAGCGGGGCUCAAGCGUACCGCCGAAGUCGUGUCAUUCAUACAACAGGGCCAACGCCUGUAUGGAUGGGUAGGGGAGCGUCGUGUGCCGGGUGAAGCAGCCGCGGAAGCGAGUUGUGGACGGUUCACGAGUGAGAAUGCAGGCAUGAGUAGCGAUACAAACGUGAGAAACGUUUGCGCCGAUUGACUAAGGGUUCCUGGGUCAAGCUGAUCUGCCCAGGGUAAGUCGGGACCUAAGGCGAGGCCGACAGGCGUAGUCGAUGGAUAACCGGUUGAUAUUCCGGUACCCGCUGUGAAGCGUCAAACAUCGAAUCCAGUGAUGCUAAGGCCGUGAAGCCGCCCCUGAUCUCUUCGGAGUGAGGGGAGUGGUGGAGCCGCUGAACCAAGUUGGUAGUAGGUGAGUGAUGGGGUGACGCAGGAAGGUAGUCCAUCCCGGGCGGUGGUUGUCCCGGGGUAAGGGUGUAGGCCGUGCGGUAGGUAAAUCCGUCGCACACAAGGCUGAGACCUGAUGCCGAGCCGAUUGUGGUGAAGUGGAUGAUCCUAUGCUGUCGAGAAAAGCCUCUAGCGAGUUUCAUGGCGGCCCGUACCCUAAACCGACUCAGGUGGUCAGGUAGAGAAUACCGAGGCGUUCGGGUGAACUAUGGUUAAGGAACUCGGCAAAAUGCCCCCGUAACUUCGGGAGAAGGGGGGCCAUUCUUGGUGAUCGGAUUUACUCCGUGAGCUGGGGGUGGCCGCAGAGACCAGCGAGAAGCGACUGUUUACUAAAAACACAGGUCCGUGCGAAGCCGUAAGGCGAUGUAUACGGACUGACGCCUGCCCGGUGCUGGAACGUUAAGGGGACCGGUUAGCUCCAUUUCGGUGGGGCGAAGCUGAGAACUUAAGCGCCAGUAAACGGCGGUGGUAACUAUAACCAUCCUAAGGUAGCGAAAUUCCUUGUCGGGUAAGUUCCGACCUGCACGAAUGGCGUAACGACUUCUCGACUGUCUCAACCAUAGGCCCGGUGAAAUUGCACUACGAGUAAAGAUGCUCGUUUCGCGCAGCAGGACGGAAAGACCCCGGGACCUUUACUACAGUUUGAUAUUGGUGUUCGGUUCGGCUUGUGUAGGAUAGCUGGGAGACUUUGAAGCUCGCACGCCAGUGUGGGUGGAGUCGUCGUUGAAAUACCAGUCUGGUCGUGCUGGAUGUCUAACCUGGGUCCGUGAUCCGGAUCAGGGACAGUGUCUGAUGGGUAGUUUAACUGGGGCGGUUGCCUCCUAAAGGGUAACGGAGGCGCCCAAAGGUUCCCUCAGCCUGGUUGGCAAUCAGGUGUUGAGUGUAAGUGCACAAGGGAGCUUGACUGUGAGACCGACGGGUCGAGCAGGGACGAAAGUCGGGACUAGUGAUCCGGCGGUGGCUUGUGGAAGCGCCGUCGCUCAACGGAUAAAAGGUACCCCGGGGAUAACAGGCUGAUCUUCCCCAAGAGUCCAUAUCGACGGGAUGGUUUGGCACCUCGAUGUCGGCUCGUCGCAUCCUGGGGCUGGAGUCGGUCCCAAGGGUUGGGCUGUUCGCCCAUUAAAGCGGUACGCGAGCUGGGUUUAGAACGUCGUGAGACAGUUCGGUCCCUAUCCGCUGUGCGCGUAGGAGUCUUGAGAAGGGCUGUCCCUAGUACGAGAGGACCGGGACGGACGAACCUCUGGUGUGCCAGUUGUUCUGCCAAGGGCAUGGCUGGUUGGCUACGUUCGGGAGGGAUAACCGCUGAAAGCAUCUAAGCGGGAAGCCUGCUUCGAGAUGAGGACUCCCACCUCCUAGAGAGGGUAAGGCUCCCAGUAGACGACUGGGUUGAUAGGCCAGAUAUGGAAGCCGGGUAACCGGUGGAGUUGACUGGUACUAAUAGGCCGAGGGCUUGUCCUCAGUUG